UACGUAGGGUCCGAGCGUUGUCCGGAAUUACUGGGCGUAAAGAGCUCGUAGGUGGUUUGUCGCGUUGUUCGUGAAAACUCACAGCUCAACUGUGGGCGUGCGGGCGAUACGGGCAGACUGGAGUACUGCAGGGGAGACUGGAAUUCCUGGUGUAGCGGUGGAAUGCGCAGAUAUCAGGAGGCACACCAGUUACAUUCGCGGGUCUCUUUUCAGUAACUAACGCUUAAUAUCUAAAGCGUGGUUAUCGAACAGC
rnacentral:rRNA from 1 species